rnacentral:lncRNA from 1 species
GGAAGAACCUUGUUAAAUGGACAGGGAUAACUACUGGAGGUGACAGAAGACACGUGCAGGUUUCAGGAAGGACAGCAGAACUGCCGGUAAAUACGAACCUACCCUUCCCAUUGCAGGUUCGGCGUUUGUGCCCUACCCUUGCCUGCCCAGCCUUCCUUCCUCCUCACACUCGCUGCUACCCACUGACCGAGGCGCUGAGCAGAAGUAGCAAUCGCUUACCGGCCUGCAGCCCGGCCCCGAGGCUCCCAGCCCUGCCGGCCCCGGCCCACCACACUCCUCUUGCCGGGGCACCUCUCUAAUCACCCCCCAGCCCGGGGAGGGAGCACUGACUGGGGUGGCCCGGCCGCAGGGUGAAGUCACCCGGUGACCCUGUCACCAAAAGGCCUCACCGUUUUUGGCAAGCCCAGCAGAACAGGGAUUCCCAACUGCUCAGCUCCUUCCAAGGCAAAGCUCCCUGGCUGGGAAAGGCCUCUGGUACAGUGUAUCCCACUGUCACCGCUUCAGAGCGAUCCACUGAGCUGGGAUUGGAACACACUGUGGAAGUGAUCCCACUCCUGACACCCUGCCAGCUAUCACAAGAUGCACAUUCACAGCUGCAAUAUAAUGUGGUUUCACUGAAGUCAGUAAUCUUAGGACCAGAUUCGCAAACCGAGAUCCAGCAGACAUUUGCAGGAAACAUAUCCCCUGUCUUGUGCAGCUCAUAGUCCUCAAUCCUUUCUGGAGGAGACUUCCUCUCCUACCAGCAAGGAUCAACUGCCGACAUCACCUGCUACUUUUCCUCCAUGCCUUAAGUGCUCAUCUCAACGCAGAACACAUCAAUUCCCAGAUCUGGAAGUCUUAAGCCCUCAGUUCUCGCUUAUUAGGGCUCCUAAUCACUGGGCUGUUCUCAUGGGGAAAAAUCCCCACCCCACCCCUCCUUUGAAGGCAUUUCACUUUGCAUAAAAAUGCACUAGGCCGGGGGAAGGAGAAGGAAGGAACGAGACUAUUAAGUCUGCUGGUUGCGGUGCUUGCCAAAGCCUGGAGCUCCCAUCUCCCAGUCAGCAGCGCUCAGAAGCAGAUUUAAUCAGGUUCCCACCAAGUCUUCCUUCACCCAAGAGAAAAAACGUUCUGCACGAAAAAGAGGUAACACUUUCAACUAUCUCUUUGCAUCCUAGAUGGUAAUUACAGAAUUGGAUACUCAUCUAUUCAGGUAAAACAGCGAUGCAACACUGAUCUGUACCCACUAACUUGCUAGAUAAAUAACAGGGACCUUCGAGUAACCCCUUUUUAAAGCAAGCCUAGGCCACCACUGUGUGCUAGGGGACAGCAACUUAGCCUUAGUAAAAUUGCAAAUUUUCACACCAUGUGCAUUGGUUACACAGCAAAGAAAAACGGGUAAUGAGGGUCUUGUAGAAGAGUCGGCAUUGCAUGGCAACGCAGUUCUCCUCUUUGGUCCGUAUUUAUUACUUUGCUUCACUCUGUAUGGAAGCAUGAGAGAUCAUCCAUCCCAUCUUACUGCUGCUCACCCCACCAAUGUUGCUCUCCGCAAAAAGCCACUGGACAUACAGAAGCAAAGGCAGUCAAAAACGUUAGUUGUCCCAACUGGCAAAACACAACAAAAACAAAACCAACCCAUAACAGUACAACUAUUUGCCCUGACAAAAUACUUCAGCCCAUGACUCAAAAAUGUUCAGAUUCUUUUUUAUUUUUUUUUACAUCCUCCUCCCUACCCUUCUAAUUCCCCUCCCUUUGCAAGGUUACAAUUUCCUUAAAUAUAUAUUGCACCAGCAGGCUGGGGGAAUGUGUUCCAGAUAAAACAGAUGAGCAGAAAUAAGUUCUUUUUCAGAAGGAUCAGCUGCUAAAUGCAUUCCAGUAGAGGUGUCAAACAGAUUUUAUGAAGAGAGCUAAUCACAUUUUUAAUUAUGGUCUUCAUGCUGACUUUACAGAGUUAGGGUAAAAAGCUAUUCUUGAUCAAAAGCAGAUAUCCUACUCACAUCAAUGGGUUUAUAAAAAGACUGAGAAUGGAAUUUAGACCAGAUGGAGAAAAUGAAAGAAAAGUUUAUUAACUGUAUCAUUUGGUGGAGAAACAAAUAGUUGUUGAUAUAUCUACAAAUCAGGUACUGACAAAUAUUGAACAAACUGGCUACCAGGAGUGCCACCAUCUUGUUCUAGAGUUAAAUGAGUUGUGGAAGUGUUAGAGCACGUUUUACCUCCUCAAUCGACAGCACAUUUUUUACACUAUUUCCACGCUGGCUGAAUUAGAAGGAUACGGUUCCCUACAUGUAGAUGUUCUCACAGUACAUAAGAAUAUUGCUGAAUACCAUUAGUGAUAAAUGAUAAUGGUAUAGCUUAUCCCUAUUAGAGAAGAUACUUGUGUAUCAUUAUAGCUGCCUAUACACCAGAUCACAGAUAAGGGAAAAAAAAUAAAUCUCUGCAGAAGAAAAUAUUUACCCUUCUAACAAAAACAGUUGGACUUGUAUAAACACCAUGUUCCACAUGGUUAAUUGUGCUUGCUGUUUAAUGGGAUCGUGUCACUUCACAUUUAUACUUUUAAGCUGUUAAACAUACACAUAUGCUAAAUUCAAAGCCUGGUGUGAAAUUCUGGUCAACCUGACAUCAGAAAAAGUUUUCUAACAAUCCUCCUGGGACAAAAAGAUAAUAAUAAUAACAAUAAUAAUGAUAGUAAUAAUAAUAAAAGAAAGUCCUAAACCUUACAAAUUCAAAUUCCAUAUUAAUGAGAAUUAAAUAUGUCCCGUACAGUUCUAUGUUUCAGGACAAUUUGUGAAGGAACUUGGGAUUUCCUUGGAGGAAACCAUGGGAAUUUUGCUUUUCCAGCUGUGAUAACAAGGUUCCAACAACAAAAUCUGAAGAGAUCACCCAAACUAGAAAUGAAGGAUCAGAACUGAGGGCAGCCAGAGGAUUACCCUGCUGUCCUACUAACUAUACUGCUGACUGCUGCUAUAACAUGAG